rnacentral:rRNA from 1 species
GAGUUUGAUCUUGGCUCAGGAUGAACGCUGGCGGCGUGCCUAAUACAUGCAAGUCGAGCGAACGGACGAGAAGCUUGCUUCUCUGAUGUUAGCGGCGGACGGGUGAGUAACACGUGGAUAACCUACCUAUAAGACUGGGAUAACUUCGGGAAACCGGAGCUAAUACCGGAUAAUAUUUUGAACCGCAUGGUUCAAAAGUGAAAGACGGUCUUGCUGUCACUUAUAGAUGGAUCCGCGCUGCAUUAGCUAGUUGGUAAGGUAACGGCUUACCAAGGCAACGAUGCAUAGCCGACCUGAGAGGGUGAUCGGCCACACUGGAACUGAGACACGGUCCAGACUCCUACGGGAGGCAGCAGUAGGGAAUCUUCCGCAAUGGGCGAAAGCCUGACGGAGCAACGCCGCGUGAGUGAUGAAGGUCUUCGGAUCGUAAAACUCUGUUAUUAGGGUAAGAACAUAUGUGUAAGUAACUGUGCACAUCUUGACGGUACCUAAUCAGAAAGCCACGGCUAACUACGUCG